rnacentral:rRNA from 1 species
GACGAACGCUGGCGGCGUGGAUUAGGCAUGCAAGUCGAGCGAUAUCUUACCUUCGGGUAAGUGAAAGCGGCGAACGGGUGAGUAACACGUGAAUAACCUGCCCUCACAUUCCGGAUAAUAGACCGAAAGGUCUUGUAAUACGGGCGAGGAUUUCUCUUAGGCAUCUUAGAGAAAGGGAAGGUGCAAGCCGUGCGAGGAGG